ACGGAAGGCAGCAGUGGGGAAUAUUGGGCAAUGGGGGAAACCCUGACCCAGCAACGCCGCGUGAAGGAAGAAGGCCUUCGGGUUGUAAACUUCUUUUACCAGGGACGAAGAACGUGACGGUACCUGGAGAAAAAGCUACGGCUAAGUACGUGCCAGCAGCCGCGGUAAUACGUAGGUAGCAAGCGUUGUCCGGAUUUACUGGGUGUAAAGGGCGUGUAGGCGGAGGAGCAAGUCAGAUGUGAAAUCCAUGGGCUUAACCCAUGAACGGCGUUUGAAACUGUUCCCCUUGAGUAUCGGAGAGGCAGGCGGAAUCCUAGUGUAGCGGUGAAAUGCGUAGAUAUUAGGAGGAACAUCAGUGGCGAAGGCGGCUUGCUGGACGACAACUGACGCUGAGGCGCGAAAGCGUGGGUAGCAAACAGGAUUAGAUACCCUGGUA
rnacentral:rRNA from 1 species